CCCUUAGAUGUCCUGGGCCGCACGCGCGCUACACUGAUGCAUUCAACGAGUUUUUCCUUGGCCGAGAGGCCUGGGCAAUCUUUUGAACGUGCAUCGUGAUAGGGAUAGAUUAUUGCAAUUAUUAAUCUUGAACGAGGAAUUCCUAGUAAACGCAGAUCAUCAGUCUGCAUUGAUUACGUCCUUGCCCUUUGUACACACCGCCCGUCGCACCUACCGAUUGAAUGGUCCGGUGAAGCCUCGGGAAUGUGACCAGUUCGCUUCAUUGUGAGUUGGUUGCGUGAACUUGUCUAAACCUUAUCAUUUAGAGGAAGGUGAAGUCGUAACA
rnacentral:rRNA from 1 species